AUGUCGUAAUAAUUUGAUUUGAACACAGACAAAACGCACGUAAACGUGCGAGUAAAUGCAUUUUUGGAUUAUCAGUGGAAAAGAGAUUAACGCAAUGAUGAUACAGACAUCCUAUUGUUGAGAGAGUGGGUCAUUCCAAAAAAGGUUUAGUUUGGCUAGAUGUUUCAUCAACAGCACCUCAAACUGCCAAAAACACCGAUGUUCAUUAAACAGGAUUGUACCGAUUUGCAGUUUUCUUUAUAUAAUACGAAUAAAUAUACUACUGUAUAAUAUAUCUUCUAGAAAAAA
rnacentral:misc_RNA from 1 species